rnacentral:rRNA from 1 species
AGUGAACGCUGGCGGUAGGCCUAACACAUGCAAGUCGAACGGCAGCACAGUAAGAGCUUGCUCUUACGGGUGGCGAGUGGCGGACGGGUGAGGAAUACAUCGGAAUCUACUUUUUCGUGGGGGAUAACGUAGGGAAACUUACGCUAAUACCGCAUACGACCUACGGGUGAAAGCAGGGGAUCUUCGGACCUUGCGCGAUUGAAUGAGCCGAUGUCGGAUUAGCUAGUUGGCGGGGUAAAGGCCCACCAAGGCGACGAUCCGUAGCUGGUCUGAGAGGAUGAUCAGCCACACUGGAACUGAGACACGGUCCAGACUCCUACGGGAGGCAGCAGUGGGGAAUAUUGGACAAUGGGCGCAAGCCUGAUCCAGCCAUACCGCGUGGGUGAAGAAGGCCUUCGGGUGGUAAAGCCCUUUUGUUGGGAAAGAAAAGCAGCAGGUUAAGACCCCGCUGUUCUGACGGUACCCAAAGAAUAAACACCGGCUAACUUCGU